CCACCCGAUCCUCCUCAGGCGAAGAAAAAAAACGAAGCCAUGGCAGGCAUAACCAUCUAACAAGACCCAGGAGGUACAGAAAGGUUUCACUCUUUGCUCCUUCCCCAACCCCCAGCUCAGAGCCUAGAUAUCUGUCACGUGAUUCCGUGAAUGAAUGGAUUCUAGAGUCCGCUAAAAAAAUAAAGCCCCGUGGGAAGUCAGAACAGGUGCAGUGAGACGGGAAACAGACAGCACAGCCUUCCAGCAGCAAGGGAGAGAGUUCUAGAUGGAGAGGAAUCAAUGUGCCAGAGAUUUGGGACAAGGACAUGUGAGGCUCUGAUGGGAGGACACCAGUGUGCCUUACUUACACCCACGUUCCUGGAGGUGAGCUCGGGCAGCCGCAAUGUGGGGGAUACAGGAGCCUCCUGAGACAUUCAGCUAGGCCCGAGCAGGCCUGGCUGUGGCCCUGUGGUGUUUUCAGAAGUUGGGCAGGCAGCCAGAAUGCAAGGGCCUUGUGACACAGCUAGCAAAAGCACCCCAGCUUAUGGACUGCCAGAAGCAGGCACCCCAGAAGUCAGGUGUGAUCCAGGCAAGGCCAGGCCUCUGGGCCUAGAGAACCUUCUAGAAACCCCUGGCUCCUUGAUGACCAUCAAUGACCCUCUUAUCUAGAGCUGAAGAGGGACAGAGCCGUGGUCAGCUCCUGUCACUGCCCGGAAGCUGGGUGCAGUGGAAGAUUACGAAAUGCAGGCAUCUACAGGCCUGCCAGAUCCCCGCCACCGCCUCGUUAGACCAGGAGGGGACCGAAAGCACCUGCCUUACAGGAGGAAAAGCCCAGGACCCGUUUGUGAGUGAAUCUGGGCCUCCUGGCUUGUAGCCCAGCACUCCGUACUCUACCCAGCUCCCAGAGCACUGCUCCUCAGGCUCGCCCUGGAAUCUGAUAGGUGGGCCCACCCACCUAGCCAGCCAGCCAGGUGGGGAUGAGUCAUUCACCCUCCCGGACUCACAGUCCUCAGGUGCCUCCUAAGGUCAACAAGCAGGGGACUUGGUGGCCACAACCCAACUUCUUCCAGCUCUCCACAGCCUGCAGGGAGAGCUCCUAUCUCUCCUCCUCGAGGGAACCUACCCCACCACAGGGCUCCCAGAAGGCUUGAAAACACAGCAAGCAAGAAGCGCAGCCUGGGUGGGAGCCGGCACGGGGCUGCCUUGCCCUGCCUGCCUUCAGGGCUGCUCUCGCUGGCCUUCUGCUUGGUGAGGAGCAGAUGAGGUGGUGAAAACAGUAUGGCCACCAGGGAAAACCUCUCAAUCCACAAAGGCCGUUCAGACCUCCACUCAGCAAUCGUCCAGAUUCCCCGGGACACUAGGUGGCCUGUGGCUCUGUGUUCUACCUACCUUACAGGGUUUUGCAAGGAGAGGAGAGCCACUCGGUGAGGAGAUGCUGUAACAGCCGCUGAGGCACUGGAAAACGAGAGCUGGUGGUACCUGGAAAGGGGCCCAGAAAUCUCAGGGUCAGUGUCUGGGGUCGCAUGGGUAAAUCCCACCUACCCCGCAUAUCUCUAGCGACGAGACACUCACUUCCUGGCGGUGCUGCCCACACCUGCUGCUGGGGGGGUUGACCAGCCACUAUGGGGGGACGGUUGACCAGCCACUAGUGGACCUCAGGACGCCAGGCUAUGGACUCCUUGGAGUAGGAACUGCUUCCCUCUGAGGCUGUGGCCCAGUAUGACCUGGCAAACGCCUCCUCCAAAGUGUGUUAGAGGAGGGGCUGAACCACCAUCCUAUCCUGAUCCCAGACCAAUGGUGGGCUGUACAGCUGAGCCUUCUGGGCCCCUGCCUUGUGGGGACAACCUAGAACUUCAAUCCUACAUAUCAACCAGUCAGCUCCUGCCCACUCGAGCGAGAUCUCGCUACCCAAACCAGCUUCUUCCGGCCAAGGAAGAGAGCCAGGGUCCCAAAACAAAGGGGCCUCACAGGCUCCUGAGAUGACGAUGAGGAUACAACAAGCCCCUUCUUAACCAUAGUAAAUGGCCCAGACAUUGCUGAUGGUUUGGGUCAGUAGGUGACACAGUAGUAGACCUGGAGCCGUGGGCAGAGAGGUCAGAGGUCACGUGUGUAUCUAGGUCUGGGGAAUUUGAGUUAAACGGCACCUCUGAGGGCCUUCCUAGAGGCAGCAAAGCACAUCGGGGGUUUGUUUUUAAAAAUGACAGACAACUGUGCAUUCUAUGAACUCCAAGCCAGUCUCAGCUGUUGCCUUGGGGGUGGGGGCUGCAUGUGUUCCCAAGUGUACCUCCUUUGUCACACUUCCCAUUCAGCAAAGGGUACCCCUGGCCACCCUCUCCCAGCCACACAAGGGUCCAGGCAUCACCCCCCACAAGUUCCAGUUCGCGCUGACUCCCAACACUGCAGUUCAGCCUUUGACUACACCAGAGCACGCCUCCGCUCUCCGUCCCCACUGUCACCUCUCUGUUGACAUCUCAGCCCGCCUCUGACUCGCUCACAGCGCAAACUUCCUCAGAGCAGGCCCAGACCACAUCGCUGGGUUGCUCAGACGCUGCUGUGGCUCCACACAGCCCCCCGACAAAGCCCAGGACCCAUUAUCUACUCUCCAAUGUCUGCUCUCUGUGGUCUGUCAUGGCCAAGCGCUUGAACCACAGUUCUCAUCCAGUGCCAUCCUCCAUCUGUGCCUGCCCGACUCCAGCCAGACACGGUGCGCUCCGUCCCUUGUGCCCUCUGUAUAAGUUUUGUAUACACUGUUUUCUUGAAUGCCCUCAGCCACUAGGUUCUCCGCCACACUAAACUGAAGCAGUCUCUUUCUGUAUUGGUCUCUCCCAGGAAGCUAAGAUCUGUGUAUGCUACCCCAGAUCCUGGACCCCAGCAGCUCUAAAUGCUCCUGGGAGAAGUCAGGGAACAAUAUGCUUGCACACAUGCCUGACACGCGUGCUCACAGGCACAUUCCCACAGAGCUUGCUCACAGUACAGAUGCUGCCAUCUAUGGGCAAGAAAAGUACUACAGGCUCCCUGAGAUGGACACCAGCUUUCAUGCGUUUACGACCACCCCAGCUAAGUCUAAGUUUGUGGGUUCCCCUUUGGGGAAGGCUGUAGCAACUCAAUACAAGGUCUGCUAGCGGCUGGCACUGCUAGCUGGGUCUCCACCCACGCACUCCCAAUGGAACAAGAAAGGGGGGGUUUCUGUUGCAGCCCCACAAGGCCAGCUGCAGGCCGCUGGUUCUGAGUUGGCCUGCACAUCUGCUUGCACAUCUGCCUGCACAACCUCAGAGCUCAGGGAGGAGGCAGCUACCGAGAGUCAAGUUGUCUACCAAGAAAGGGCUAGCCUCUGGGCAGGGUGCUCACUGACAGUGUGCAAGCCACCAGGGGACCUCCGUCUAGGCUACCAGGAGGGAGUAUUCUGCCUCGUGGGUGGUGGAGGUUGCAGCUGCGGCUAGUCUCAUCCCCUGCCAAGUCACCAGGAGGACUUUUGGGCUUGAUGUCCAGCCACACCAAAGAUUCAAAUGGCCACCUCCAGUGACAAGUUGUCAUUUUCUGUACACCUACAGGCUAUCAGACUCUACAGGCAACAUAGGAAGCCUGAUAGGCAGUUAGCAUGACUCUCAUCUUUUCAAGCCAGACUCCAGGCUCAGAGAGGUGAAGGAAGAUGCCAUAGGUCCGGUCACACAGCUAGGCAGCUCCCACCAAGUCAUACUGCUGCUCUUGGGUCUAGCUUUACUCAGCAUCAACCUGUAAAUAAGGCUAUGCCUCCUGCUCACUUGGAGAAAGACCCAAAGCUUUGGUUGCUCAGUUUACAGAGGGCUUCUGCAGAGGGCUACCGGGAACCUGAUCUGAGCCACAGCAGGACACUGCUGUCUCUUGUCUUUUAUUGUUGUUUUCCCUUACUUUCUUCUUUAUGUUUUUAUUUUGUUUAUUGGUUUAAAAAUUCUUAGCUCAGGGCCAUGCAAAAGUAGAUUGAGCGCUCCCAGCAACAGUGGCCAUUCACAUAUUUACCGAGAGCAGUAUUUAUCAUCUUAAAUGUAAAACCUUCUGGUGGAGAUGUUUAUCAAGGCCAGCUGCUCUCUCCCUUCAGAGCUUCCCAGUGAGUCAGUCUCUCCUCUUGAAGGGCCUUACCUCUCCACCUCUCCAUGACUUUGCAGGAAACUAUUUCGACAACUGCUCACACUCUCGGAACAGUGGAAUAAAGUGUGACCAGGGUUGGAAGAGAAGAGGGGGCAGUAGGAUGUGUAGACAGACUCUCCGGGGUGAAACACUGGAAGACCUGGGUUGGGACCGUUUAUGGGUGGGAUGCUUGCCCAGCAAGCACAAGGCUCUGGGUCCUAUGCCCAGCUCUGAAGAAAACAAAAGUCCCUGAAUCUAGACUGGCUGCUCAUGCCUUAUCCAUAGACUUAACUUCUAGAUAUUCAUUCUAAAUUGACUAUAGUUGAUUGCCCACCCCCCUUUUUUCCUGAGGGCCUCAUUUACCUCAGACUGGCCUUGAAUUCAAGACACAGACAAAGAUGAUUUUGAACUUUUGAUCUUUCUGCCCACUUUACACAGGAGAGCACCACCACACCCACUGUGUACAGGAGAACACCACCACACCCACUGUGUACAGGUGAGAACCACCACACCCACUGUGUGCAGAAGAGCACCACCACACCCACUGUGUACAGGAGAGCACCACCACACCCACUGUGUGCAGGAGAGCGCCACCACACCCACUGUGUACAGGAGAGCACCACCACACCCACUGUGUGCAGGAGAGCACCACCACACCCACUGUGUGCAGGAGAGCGCCACCACACCCAUUGUGUGCAGGAGAACACCACCACACCCACUGUGUGCAGGAGAGCACCACCACACCCACUGUGUGCAGGAGAGCACCACCACACCCACUGUGUGCAGGAGAGCACCACCACACCCACCUUAGAACAUGCUGGGGAUCUCACUCAGGGCUACAAGCAUGUUAGAUAACCUAGAUAAGCUUUCAUUGUUGGGUUAGAAUCUUCCAGUUCAGUGUGACCCCUGGACUGACAGCAUCAGCAGGAGCUCAUUAGAAUGCAGAUUCCAGGUACCAACCCAGUCCUAAGGAAUCAUUACCUACAUUUUCACGGAAUUUGUGGGUGGUUAUGGACAUGAUAAGUCUGGGAGUUCUUCAGAAUAUCGUUUCUGUCUAACUUCAAAUCAUUAGACAUCUAAGGUGUCAUAGUGUCUCCUCCCUGAUCUCAGGUCUGCAGCAAACUCCAGGACGCAGGUCCAAGAGAAGGACCAGGCCUUCUCUUGAUCUUGAGAUCUGAUCCUAGCCAGGCAGGGAGGCUGACUUGGGAGGAGAGGAGAAGGCAGCAUUCCCAUUUCACAGAGGAGUGGGAGCCAGUUAGAGAGCCAGGCCAGACAGGUGUGCAAAUGACUCACCCAAACUCAGCAGCCAAGAUGAGCUAAGGGCACGUCCAUGGCCAAGUCCCCCAAUCUCCCCAGGCCUUGGGUUGAACACUAGCUGAAAUGCUUUUGAUUUAGAUGUGUACUUUUGAAAUACCACAAGUGACGGCACUCAGGGAGCUAGGUGGGUGUUUGUGGAAACAUGUUCACUCUCUCAGGGCAUGGGAACCCUGGCCUGAAGAGGUGAGGUGGACUAGACAGUUCCUAAGACCCUGCGCCUGCAGAGUGAGGAGGAGGCCCAGACAGUUCCUGCGCCUGCAGAGUGAGGAGGAGGCCCAGACAGUUCCUGCGCCUGCAGAGUGAGGAGGAGGCCCAGACAGCUCCUGUCCCCCCCCAGAGUGAGGAGGAGGCCCAGACAGCUCCUGUCCCCCCCAGAGUGAGGAGGAGGCCCAGACAGCUCCUGGGACCCAUCUCUCCAGGUCAGAUGGGGAAACCUGUCGGCUGAGAAGGCAGUCAAGAGUGGCACCUGCAGUCGCCACAGACACAGUCUCAGGGUUGGGAACACGAAGGCUGAUGCUACCGUCCCAAGUGUGGAGGCAGACAGCAGCUUGGCAUGGGCACUUAGAGAGUGGUGAGGAAACGGAGGCUUGCCAGGGCUUCUCCUAAAGCCAAGAAUCUGUCCCUUCAGCUGCUAACAAUGCGGUGUAACAGGGGCGUAGGAACCCUUCCAGGAAAAUUCCAUGUGGACGGUGGAGACAGGCCACCUACAGAAACCCCGAUGCCAAGAGAAACUCUGCUAGCAUGCAUAUUUCCUAACUGUACUUCUCCUCUGCAUUUUGUCACUCUGCUGGGAACCAGGUGGAGAUGGACUAAUGACCCACCUCAGUUUUGGACAUAACCACAAAUAAAGUAACUUUCCAUCCCUC